rnacentral:snRNA from 1 species
GUGCUUGCUUUGGCAGCACAUAUACUAAAAUUGGAAAGAUACAGGGAAGAUUAGCAUGGCCCCUGCACAAGGAUGACAUACAAAUUUGUGAAGUGUUCCAUAUAAAA